CUCGGAGUUUGAUCCUGGCUCAGGAUGAACGCUAGCGGCAGGCUUAACACAUGCAAGUCGAGGGGUAGAAGCAGCUUGCUGCUUUGAGACCGGCGCACGGGUGCGUAACGCGUAUACAAUCUACCUUUUACAGAGGGAUAGCCCAGAGAAAUUUGGAUUAAUACCUCAUAGUAUUUUCGAAUCGCAUGAUUUGAUUAUUAAAGUUCCAACGGUAAAAGAUGAGUAUGCGUCCCAUUAGCUAGAUGGUAAGGUAACGGCUUACCAUGGCAACGA
rnacentral:rRNA from 1 species